rnacentral:rRNA from 1 species
GACGGAGGAUGCAAGCGUUAUCCGGAAUGAUUGGGCGUAAAGCGUCCGCAGGUGGCAGUUCAAGUCUGCUGUCAAAGACCGGGGCUUAACUUCGGAAAGGCAGUGGAAACUGAACAGCUAGAGUAUGGUAGGGGCAGAGGGAAUUCCUGGUGUAGCGGUGAAAUGCGCAGAUAUCAGGAGGAACACCGGUGGCGAAGGCGGUGGUCUGGGCCGGCACUGACGCUGAGGAGCGAAAGCGUGGGGAGCGAACAGG